GAACUUAAGCAUAUCAAUAAGCGGAGGAAAAGAAACCAACAGGGAUUGCCUCAGUAACGGCGAGUGAAGCGGCAACAGCUCAAAUUUGAAAUCUGGCUCUUUCAGGGUCCGAGUUGUAAUUUGUAGAGGAUGUUUCGGGUGUGGCUCCGGUCUAAGUUCCUUGGAACAGGACGUCAUAGAGGGUGAGAAUCCCGUAUGUGACUGGUAGCCUAUGCUCAUGUGAAACUCCUUCGACGAGUCGAGUUGUUUGGGAAUGCAGCUCAAAAUGGGUGGUAAAUUUCAUCUAAAGCUAAAUAUUGGCCAGAGACCGAUAGCGCACAAGUAGAGUGAUCGAAAGAUGAAAAGCACUUUGGAAAGAGAGUUAAACAGUACGUGAAAUUGUUGAAAGGGAAGCGCUUGCAACCAGACUUGCAUGUAGCUGAUCAACCGGUGUUCUCACCGGUGCACUCAGUUGCGUUCAGGCCAGCAUCGGUUUUGACGGUUGGAUAAAGGCCUUGGGAAUGUAGCUCCUUUCGGGGAGUGUUAUAGCCCAGGGUGCAAUGCAGCCUGUUGGGACCGAGGACCGCGCUUCGGCUAGGAUGCUGGCGUAAUGGUUGUAAGCGACCCGUCUUGAAACACGGACCAAGGAGUCUAACAUCUAUGCGAGUGUUUGGGUGUCAAACCCAUACGCGUAAUGAAAGUGAACGGAGGUGAGAACCCUUAAGGGUGCAUCAUCGACCGAUCCUGAUGUCUUCGGAUGGAUUUGAGUAAGAGCAUAGCUGUUGGGACCCGAAA
rnacentral:rRNA from 1 species